rnacentral:rRNA from 1 species
UGGGGAAUAUUGCACAAUGGGCGCAAGCCUGAUGCAGCCAUGCCGCGUGUAUGAAGAAGGCCUUCGGGUUGUAAAGUACUUUCAGUCGGGAGGAAGGUGGUAAGGUUAAUAACCUUGGCAAUUGACGUUACCGACAGAAGAAGCACCGGCUAACUCCGUGCCAGCAGCCGCGGUAAUACGGAGGGUGCAAGCGUUAAUCGGAAUUACUGGGCGUAAAGCGCACGCAGGCGGUUGAUUGAGUCAGAUGUGAAAUCCCCGGGCUUAACCCGGGAAUUGCAUCUGAUACUGGCAAGCUUGAGUCUCGUAGAGGGGGGUAGAAUUCCAGGUGUAGCGGUGAAAUGCGUAGAGAUCUGGAGGAAUACCGGUGGCGAAGGCGGCCCCCUGGACGAAGACUGACGCUCAGGUGCGAAAGCGUGGGGAGCAAACAGG